AUCCGGCUGACGAGUCCCGAAUAGGACGAAACGCGCGUUCUGAAU
rnacentral:hammerhead_ribozyme from 1 species